UCGGACUACCAAUGCAAUGAAAACCGUCUCACUUAUCAGUAACCAAAAAGAAAACUCCCCACAAUCAAAUACAGAACCAAAUCAUUAGAGACCCCAAUAAGGAAAACAGAUUCCGAUACAGUUAAACAUAUCAAUAGCAACACAAACCCAGAGAAACACAAAAUGUGUUGGUCACCUUAUAACAUUAAACUCAGAGGAUGAGAAAGAACGAGAGAGAAAGAGAGAUAGCGUACUAGAGAAGAAAGAAACGAGGCGGAUUCAUGACUGAGGAGGCGUACCUUCGAAGGGUUUCCCCUUCGCCGAGUGACUUCCUUCUCCUUCUUUGGGCGGAGAAGGGAAGUGGGAAGAUAUUUGCAAGAUCGUCAGGACAAUCUUAGCCGUCCGUGAGCACAAGGAGAAUCGAUGACCGUCCGCUGUCCUUGACGUCACCCCUUCCCCAACUCCCCCGUUGAUCGCUCUCUCCUGUGGACGCUGCCUGCCUACGCUGUGGAGGUUCCCCUUUCUCUAACUCCCCGCGGACGCUCUCUGCCUCGCUCAACGGAACUUCCCCCUUCCCCAACUCUGACCCCCGGAACCGAGCUCGGGGAAGAUCGGCAUCUUCCUCACCGGCAGCCAACCUUGAUCCCCACCCAGGAGAAACCCUCCUUCCUCUUUGUCGAAAGUAUUUCGGUGCUAACAAUUUGCUAGUGGUAAGGAUGCAUCCUCACACCUUGGCGAGAAUCGUCUUCCCCGCCUGUGCCCAUCAAACAGCUGGCACCAUCUGAACCCAGGCAGCUGCUUGUCUGCCUCCUAAGUAGCAGCCGAGCUUCCAGUCGACACUCAUCUCAACCCCAACAACAUACGUCGAGUCACUCCCCCAUUCCAGCCGGCCCCUAUCAUCACCCCAGUGGUAAGGCUGUCUGUGUCCCCUGUUCCAGCCGGCCCACAUCUUCACUCCUGUGGUAAGGCCGUUUGCCUCCCAUGUUCGAGACGACGACCAUCUUCAAUCCGGUGGUAAGGCCGUCUGCCUCCCAUGUUCGAGCCGACCUCCAUCUGAACCCCUGAUUUCCACAUUAUUGGUUUUUCCUUUUAUUGAUUCGAAGCUAAUUUCUGUUCUCAAAUCGAGUCAUUGAAAGUUCCUGUUGGAUAAUCAGAAUAUGUGGAAACAAACAUGGCUUUUGCUUAUCUCAUAUAUAGCUUAUGUACUCAUUGGUUUUUGUUUUGGCUUUGUUCAUCUUUAUAACCAAAGCAGCUAGUUUCUGGAAAUGGGAGAUGGAUGCUAGAAGCACAUAGCCUCGCAUCCAUGGAGACUGGAGAGUAAGUUUUUUGGCGGUUGCCUCCCAGCCCAUCGCAGGAAGCAACGGUCUUAUUUUUCAUCCUGGAAUUUCCGUCCGACCUAUCAAGGGGAAUUCUAGAAAGAUGUUUCAGGAAUCGGCCUCAACGGCUCUUGUUUGAUAAACAGGAUGGAUUUCAAAAAAUUGAUUUUUAUUUCUUGGUGUAUAGUAAAUUUCCAGGCCAUCAAGCGGCCCAACUGAAAACUUGGAUUUUCAUUCCGGAUGAACAGUUGAUUUGCCGGGGCACUCACAUAUUCCCUGUCUUAACAAAGCAACAAAUGGUCCCUCACAUAGUUUCAGUUUCUCGUUUAUUUUCUUAUGCUACAGAGACAUCUUCUGGCCUCUCACAGUCGCCGCACCAGCCAUUUUCAUUGAUACACCAGACAAUAUUAUAUCGGACAGUAUUGUAACCGGCAGUCGUGAUUGAAGAGAAGUAUGGAUGGCUGGAAAAUUUUACCUUUCCUAUCGUUGAGUAAUAUUCUAUCAACACAAGAGUGUGACCUAUAGGUUUUCCUUCAUGAUCCAUAUAAUGUUUCAUGCAUUCAACCAAUAGUAAUAUGACGCCCCUUCGAAUCGUCACAUAUUAUCAAUGUUGCUUAGUAAAAUUCUGCAACUUUUCCUGUGAAAAUUUCAUUUAAUUUUUUCUGUUGGCUGGAGCAGGCAGGAUUGUCCUCGAAGCUGUGAGUGUAACGGUUUUGCUAGCCGUGAGCUUGACUCUCUAUGUAUUUUGGGCAACAAAUCGGGUCCAUGACACACAAUUUGAGGGGACUUUCCUCUUUUGCUCUUUGAUGUCUCUUGUUUGCCUUGGCAUCAUGAGGGUCUUUUUUUCCUUUGGCAAAAUCAUCCCCAUAAUCUUCAGCAUUCACAGGACAGUCCUAUUCAGUGGAUACAUCAUUUAUGAUACAAGCAACCUCCUCAAGACACACAGCCAUGACGAUAACAGUUGGGCUUCGCUGGGUGUCAUCUAUAUGGACAUCAUCAACCUAUUCCUCCAGCUGCUCGAGUUAUUUGGGUCCAGUGGGGAAUAAGUGCAUAAAUGCUUUGAUAUAUUUGAGUGGUAUAUAUACAUAAUUACCCUUAAGAGGUUGUUUGAUUGCUGUCCAUUGGGCAGAAUCUCUUGUAGAUCGCACUAUUGUUCUGUCUUCAUACAAUACGUUCCUCUUGUCUAGUGUACAUGGUUUUUCCAUUAUAGAAUAAACUCACAGGGUUAGAUCUGCA